rnacentral:tRNA from 1 species
GCCGGGGUGCCCGAGCGGACCAAGGGGACGGGCUGGAGACCCGUUCCCCCACACGGGGGGCGCGGGUUCGAAUCCCGCCCCCGGCGCCA